CCUCAGAAAGAGAUGGAGCACACUUUGAAAGGCAGCCCAAGAAUCUCAUUCUAAAUAUCAUCAGGCUGCUCGAGCUUUACGCUUAUAAUUUGGAAUAACAAGAGAGGAAGGUAGGAGCAUAGUAAAAACCUGUACACCUUGCUUUCCCUUCCACGCUCCUACACUGCCUCCAGAGAAGAACCCUUGUGGUUUGAGACCCAUUGAAAUGUGGCAAAUGGAUUUGACCCAUUAUAAAUCUUUUGGUCCUCUGUCUUUUUUCCAUGUUGUGGUAGACACCUUUUCAGGAUUCACUUUUACAAUAUCAGCAGCAAAAGAGACAGCCUGAGUGGUCACUGAAUUCCUUAUACAAGCAUUUGCAAUUAUGGGUGCGCCACAAGCAAGGAAAACAGACAAUGGACCUGCAUAUACUUCUGAACAUUUUGCACACUUUUGUGCACAGUGUAAGAUUUUACACACCACUAGCAUACCUUUUAAUCCUCAAGUACAGGCAAUAGUAGAGAAGAGAAACAGAGACAUUAAGAUGCUCCUCUGAAAACAAAAGUAAGGGGGAGCCACAGACAACCUUAGAGAACUUGUAAAUCUAGCUCUUUAUACUAUUUCUUGAUAUUUGACAAGGUGCAUUGGCUGUGGCAGGCAGGUUUUAUAACCCACCGGAAGGGCAGUGUCCAGUGCGAGCCUCUCCAUUAUCUUUAAUCGCCAGGUGAUGUGGAGAGGCCCAGAAAGUGGUGAAUGGAAGGGACCGGAUAGAUAAACUGCUUGGGGGAGAGG